GGUUUGAAUCUAGAGCAGGAUUAAAUUCCUCUCCAACCUGCCCUCUCCGGCAAGGUGGAAAAGUGAUUCGGUUAACCAACAAAUAAAGGAGUUAAA
rnacentral:ncRNA from 1 species